AUGGCGGCGCUUCGAGUCGCGGCGAGGAGGCUCGUCGGCGGUGGCCAGACGCCGGCGGUGGCUGUGGACAAGGCGCAACGCCGGCUCUUCCCGAGGCUGUCCCAGGUCCACCGGGUUAGGUCCACCACAUCCUCCGCUGCUGCGGCGGCCAAGGGCUGUGAUUGUGAAGAUCGGGAGAAACUCCUGAGAGAGAUCCAUAACAUGAGAGAGGAGCUGUACGAUAAGGUUUCGCACGCGGAAAGGACCUACGAUAUCCCUGGCAGGGCAGGCAAACAUAUCAGUCAGCUGCGCGAGGAGCUCGCCGUGCAAGUGGAUCCUAGACCCGGGGACAGCACAUGGCGCGAGAUGCGAGUGCUAGAUCCACUUGAUCGUUGCAUGGGAUUUGCAACUUUGACCUUCAGCUUGUAUGUGCUCAUGAGCAUGGCCGCUGGUUAA
rnacentral:rRNA from 1 species